ensembl:lncRNA
GACAUAUUACCCACAGGCUUAUGUAUAGGCACCCGGGGUCCUAAAGCCGGUAGCUCGUCAACACCACUGGUUCUGGGAUUGUGUAGCAGAGUCACGGGUGCUGCGUGAAAUAAACAGGAGGGCAGACGCUGGCAGAGCCGCUGUGUUUUGAUGUACGUGUGUGGGCGUGACGCCGUGUGUGCAAAAAGGUACGUUAUUGAACGUAUUCGUGGUAUUCUGUUUGUAGUAUAAUACAGACAAGUCAUGAUGUACUCUUUAUGUAUCCUUCACCAGUGUCUGCUGGGCACUGUUACCAUAGCAGAGAGGGCAGUUAUUCUCCAGAAGCCAUCAGCCACAGUGUAGUAGCCAUCUUGAAAAGCGUUAGACCCUCGCAGCUACCCAGGGCUGCUAGUUGCUGUUCUCUUUUAAUGUGUAUUUGAUGCAUUGGUGCCGCGUAUAGUUUGUUUACUUUUUUUUUGUUCCUCUAGCCUAUCGGCCUAAGUAGCUUGUGUAGGUACUACCUAUUUAAUGUGAGCCGCAGGCUAGAGUGGAUUUAUUUUGUUUGUUUUUCUUUUUUACUGUACUUCCAGUUCGUGUGUCUCCCUCCCCCUCCACAGCUAAUAGCCUCGGUGCUUAUAAGGCCCAUUAGUACCUGACCUUGGAUAGCCGGUCUCUGUAGUUUUUCUCACUCUAGUAGCCUACAGAGAUUGCAGUGUGCAUGUAGUUUGAACUCUUAAUUGCCGUGUCACAUAUCACAGAGUGUCUUGGAUAUUGUAGUGCAUUUUCCCUGAAUCUAAAACACGUGUUAUUUAGUGUGCACAAGACCACGUGUGUUAGAGACCUGGCCUGACAUCAGUUCUCCUAGUGGCCCAGUACCGAGGUUCCCCAGUCCCCCUAUUGUGUCUAUGUAUUUUUUUGUAUUAUAUCUGGUGACCAACCAACGCUACUCGUGUCUACUAUUUUUAUACUUUCACCAAAAACUGGCAAUAGUGUUAUUGAGUUCCCCUUGC